rfam:Alligator mississippiensis ScZkoYb_19, whole genome shotgun sequence.
AAGGUUGUAUUUUCAGGGAUUAUUUCUAUAGUUGGUUCCUAGAGACAGGUGUGUGCUAGUGUUUGGUUUUGCUAGCCACAAUGAAGAAUCAUAGUGGUUUCUUCUGAGUGUGAAAUUAGUAGGCAGUGCUGUUUGUGUACAGCUGUUGCUUAUGCUUGAUUACUGUUCAGCUUCUUCUAGGGAGCUGAAGGAAAAGAGUACAGGCUGAGUGAU